AUUGAACGCUGGCGGCAGGCCUAACACAUGCAAGUCGAGCGGAUGAUGGGAGCUUGCUCCUGGAUUCAGCGGCGGACGGGUGAGUAAUGCCUAGGAAUCUGCCUGGUAGUGGGGGACAACGUUUCGAAAGGAACGCUAAUACCGCAUACGUCCUACGGGAGAAAGCAGGGGACCUUCGGGCCUUGCGCUAUCAGAUGAGCCUAGGUCGGAUUAGCUUGUUGGUGAGGUAAUGGCUCACCAAGGCGACGAUCCGUAACUGGUCUGAGAGGAUGAGCAGUCACACUGGAACUGAGACACGGUCCAGCCUCCUACGGGAGGCAGCAGUGGGGAAUAUUGGACAAUGGGCGAAAGCCUGAUCCAGCCAUGCCGCGUGUGUGAAGAAGGUCUUCGGAUUGUAAAGCACUUUAAGUUGGGAGGAAGGGUUGUAGAUUAAUACUCUGCAAUCUUGACGUUACCGACAGAAUAAGCACCGGCUAACUUCGUGCCAGCCGCCGCUGUAACAC
rnacentral:rRNA from 1 species